rnacentral:rRNA from 1 species
GUGAGGAAUAUUGCGCAAUGGACGGAAGUCUGACGCAGCGACGCCGCGUGGGUGAAGAAGGUUUUCGGAUCGUAAAGCCCUUUUCCAGGUGACGAGUAAGGACGGUAGCCUGGGAAUAAGUGUCGGCUAACUACGUGCCAGCAGCCGCGGUAAAACGUAGGACGCAAGCGUUAUCCGGAAUUACUGGGCGUAAAGCGCGCGCAGGCGGGUCAGCAAGUCAUCUGUGAAAGCUCCUGGCUAAACUGGGAGAGGACGGAUGAAACUGCUGGUCUGGAGGGUGUUAGAGGAGUGUGGAAUUCCGCGUGUAGUGGUGAAAUGCGUAGAGAUGCGGAGGAACACCGGAGGCGAAGGCGGCACUCUGGGACACAACUGACGCUGAGGCGCGAAAGCAUGGGUAGCGAACGGGAUUAGAAACCCUAGUAGUCC